rnacentral:rRNA from 1 species
GAUGAACGCUGGCGGCGUGCCUAAUACAUGCAAGUCGAGCGAACAGAUAAGGAGCUUGCUCCUUUGACGUUAGCGGCGGACGGGUGAGUAACACGUGGAUAACCUACCUAUAAGACUGGGAUAACUUCGGGAAACCGGAGCUAAUACCGGAUAACAUAUUGAACCGCAUGGUUCAAUAGUGAAAGACGGCUUUGCUGUCACUUAUAGAUGGAUCCGCGCCGUAUUAGCUAGUUGGUAAGGUAACGGCUUACCAAGGCAACGAUGCGUAGCCGACCUGAGAGGGUGAUCGGCCACACUGGAACUGAGACACGGUCCAGACUCCUACGGGAGGCAGCAGUAGGGAAUCUUCCGCAAUGGGCGAAAGCCUGACGGAGCAACGCCGCGUGAGUGAUGAAGGUCUUCGGAUCGUAAAACUCUGUUAUCAGGGAAGAACAAAUGUGUAAGUAACUGUGCACAUCUUGACGGUACCUGAUCAGAAAGCCACGGCUAACUACGUG